GAGGUACUUUUGAGUUUGAUUAAAAUACAUGUAAUUAUGAAACUUUUAUUUCCCUACAGAUGUCAACAAUGAAAAUGAAACAAAUCAAUCAAUGGAUCGAAUUAAAAGUUUUGGUAAAAGAAAACAGUUGCAUAUACAUGCUGACAAGAAAGGACUUACAUGAAGAAGAAGUGUUGUACAACUAUGAGAAUGGAAGGAGGAUUUGGUGUUUAAUUGAGGAAAUGGAUAAAAAAUAUGUAUGUGUCGAGCAACUAUAGGCACUUGAUAGAAGGGUAAAUUGGAAAGUUCAGAUUACAUUAUGCCAACAGAGAUGACAACAAAACCAACCAAGCUAAAAGUUGUCCAGGAAAACUUUUGUAUUGGAGCAAGACAAGUUAAUGACUUAAUGAUAGACUCACUGCAGAGAGAGAUGUUGGAAAAGUGGAUUUUGUUAACAAAAGGAAGAUAAGAUCAAGGCUGCCAACCUUUGAGAGAAACACUUCAAAAAAGAGUGUUUAAAUUCAAGACAUUCACUUACAGUACAUGUACUCUAUAAAAAUUAUAAAGUAAAAGUUAUUUAUUUAAUUUGGAAAAGCAUUUGAGAAACAGAGGAUGUGAAAAAGACUUUGUCCAUUUCAAGCUAUCUGUUGUCAAGUACCAGGCAUAUGUGGAUUUUAUUGAACAACUUUAUUAUGAAUUUGAAUAGCAACUUUCAAUAUCUGGAAGCAUUUUUAUCAGUAGGGAUGUAGAUGUUAAAUUAUAUAAAAAUUAUUUUUUAAAGGAUAUUUAUCAAGAAAAUUUUUGUAGAUUAAUAACAGGUAAAAUUUGUAAUGAGAGAUCUUUUAUUGAUCAUUUGCAGUAGUAAGUGACACUUGUUAUAAUUAUACCCCCGACUCUGAAGGAGAGGGGGUAUACUGUUUUACCCUUGUGUGUCUGUCUGUGUGUCUGUCCGUAACAAUUUUUCGUCGCAGUUUUCUCAACAACUACUCAUCAAAGAUGCUUGAAAUUUUAACACUUUAUGACUAGGCAUGCCAUAUUGUGGGAUUCAUGAGUGAAUAUUCACAUCGGAGCGGGGGUAUUACUAGUGAGCAUUGGCUCACAGACUUCCUAAUUAUCUCUAUAAUUUAAGAAAUCCAGUAAUUGAAAGAUCUUUGUGCAAUUUAAUGAUACCUGGUAAUGCUUGCACACCUUAUCUGAAUCAAAUUUUGAGGAAGUACCACAUAAAACUUUUUUGUGGGGGGGGGGGGGGUUCUUUUAAAAAAUGCAAGGGUUUCCGUCAUUUGAUAUUUUUUCAAAACUCCUGAUACAUGUACAUGUAAUGUAUGCUGAUUUUUUGUUAAAGAACAUCUAAUGGUAUCAUGAUUUUAAAUUAUAUUUUCUCUAAAAAUUAUCAGUUGGAAGGUUCACUGUAAAGUGCAUGUACAUUGCAUAUGACCUUAAAAGUACUGUGGUGGCAGAA